GACGAACGCUGGCGGCGUGCUUAACACAUGCAAGUCGAACGAAGUGGCGAACGGGUGAGUAAUACGUGGGUCCCCUGCCCUCCUUUUUGGGAUAAGCCUUGGAAACGGGGUCUAAUACCGAAUGAAGGGGGAGUGGCUCGCGGCCUAUCAGCUUGUUGGUGGGGGUAUGGCCUACCAAGGCGGUGACGGGUAGCCGGCCUGAGAGGGUGACCUGCCACAUGGAGACUGUGAUACCGCCCAGGCUCCUAAGGGAGGCAGAAGUGGGGGAUAUUGGACAAUGGGCGAAAGCCUGAUGCAGCGACGCCGCGGGGGGGAUGAAGGCUUUCGGGUUGUAAACCUCUUUCGCUAUCGAACCGGUAGGUGGAGAAGAAGCGCCGGCUAACCACGUGCCAGCCGCCGCGGUAAUAC
rnacentral:rRNA from 1 species